rnacentral:SRP_RNA from 1 species
GCCGGGCGUGGUGGCGGGCGCCUGUAAUCCCAGCUACUCGGGAGGCUAAGGCAGGAGAAUCGCUUGAACCCAGGAGACGCAGCUUGCAGUGAGCCAAGAUCGCACCACUGCACUCCAGCCUGGGUGACAAAGCAAGACUCUGUCUCAU